GCCUUGCAGGACGAUGAUGUGAUUGCAUAUCUUCUUGUUGGUCUUGGCCCUGACUAUGAUCCAUUCGUCACCUUGAUGACUAUCAAAAGUGAAGCCCUCACGCUUGAUGAUGUGUUUGCAUAUCUAAUGGCAUUUGAAG